GACGAACGCUGGCGGCGUGCUUAACACAUGCAAGUCGAACGGAAAGGCCCUGCUUUUGUGGGGUGCUCGAGUGGCGAACGGGUGUGUAUAACGUGAGUAUACUGCCCUUGAAUUUGGGGUAAAUUCUGGGAACUGGGGCUCUUACCGCAUAGGAGAUCCUGCUGCAUGUUGGUGGUUGGAAAGUUUCGGCGGUUGGGGCUGGACUGGCGGGUUCCCCGCUGGUUGGUGGGGUAGUGGCUUUCAAAGGCUUUGACGGGUAGCCGGCCUGAGAGGGGAGCCGGCGACAAUGCGACUGAGGGACGGCCCAGUCUCCAACGGGAGGCAGCGGUCGGGAAUAUUGCACAAUGGGCGGAAGCCUGAGGCAGCAACGCCGCGUGCGGGAUGACGGCCUUCGGGGGGUAAACCGCUUUCGCCGGAGACGAAGCGGGAGUGACGGUAAUGGGUAAAGAAGCACCGGCUAACUACGUG
rnacentral:rRNA from 1 species